AGGAGGUGUCAGAAAAGUCACCACUGGGAUAACUGGCUUGUGGCAGCCAAGCAUUCACAGAGACGUCACUUUUUGAUCCUUCGA
rnacentral:miRNA from 1 species